CUACAGGCUUAACACAUGCAAGUCGAGGGGCAGCAUGGUCUUAGCUUGCUAAGGCUGAUGGCGACCGGCGCACGGGUGAGUAACACGUAUCCAACCUGCCGUCUACUCUUGGCCAGCCUUCUGAAAGGAAGAUUAAUCCAGGAUGGGAUCAUGAGUUCACAUGUCCGCAUGAUUAAAGGUAUUUUCCGGUAGACGAUGGGGAUGCGUUCCAUUAGAUAGUAGGCGGGGUAACGGCCCACCUAGUCAACGAUGGAUAGGGGUUCUGAGAGGAAGGUCCCCCACAUUGGAACUGAGACACGGUCCAAACUCCUACGGGAGGCAGCAGUGAGGAAUAUUGGUCAAUGGGCGAUGGCCUGAACCAGCCAAGUAGCGUGAAGGAUGACUGCCCUAUGGGUUGUAAACUUCUUUUAUAAAGGAAUAAAGUCGGGUAUGCAUACCCGUUUGCAUGUACUUUAUGAAUAAGGAUCGGCUAACUCCGUGCCAGCAGCCGCGGUAAUACGGAGGAUCCGAGCGUUAUCCGGAUUUAUUGGGUUUAAAGGGAGCGUAGAUGGAUGUUUAAGUCAGUUGUGAAAGUUUGCGGCUCAACCGUAAAAUUGCAGUUGAUACUGGAUGUCUUGAGUGCAGUUGAGGCAGGCGGAAUUCGUGGUGUAGCGGUGAAAUGCUUAGAUAUCACGAAGAACUCCGAUUGCGAAGGCAGCCUGCUAAGCUGCA
rnacentral:rRNA from 1 species